UACAGAGGUCUCAAGCGUUGUUCGGAUUCAUUGGGCGUAAAGGGUGCGUAGGUGGCGCUGUAAGUCGGGUGUGAAAUUUCGGAGCUUAACUCCGAAACUGCAUUCGAUACUGCGGUGCUUGAGGACUGGAGAGGAGACUGGAAUUCAUGGUGUAGCAGUGAAAUGCGUAGAGAUCAUGAGGAGGACCAGUGGCGAAGGCGGGUCUCUGGACAGUUCCUGACACUGAGGCACGAAGGCCAGGGGAGCAAACGGG
rnacentral:rRNA from 1 species